rnacentral:misc_RNA from 1 species
UGGUUUCAAAAAGGUUAGUGCAUAUACUUAUCUUCCUUUCUUAAAUUUUGUUAGGAAGUUAAAUUGAAUGAGAAAUUGAUGAAAAAAUUGAACAAAACAUAUCUGUGGGAGUGUGCAUGAAUUUCGACAGCUUUGAUGUAUAAGGGUAUGAUGAGUUUAAUUGAUAUUAAACUUGCCUAGAGAUGGUAUGAGAUAUGUAUAUAUGUGAUGGAUGGGUUGAUAAAGUAUAGGUUGCAUGAAAUGAAUAUGAAAACUAGGGUUUUGGGGAGUAAAAAUUAGCUUGGCUUAUGAAAUUGUUAAAGUACAUCCUAAUGGUCAAUUAGUGACCAU